UCAAAAACAUCUUUUCUUGUUAGUUUCUGAAGUAUGGCCUGCCCGCUGACGUAUUUUGAGUUGAAGGGCCGCGGUAUUUUGACCGUGCAAAGGUAGCAUAGUCAUUAGUUCUUUAAUUGUGAUCUGGUAUGAAUGGCUUGACGAGACAUGGGCUGUCUUAGGUAUGAAUUUUUUGUUGAAUUUUGAGUUUAAGUUAAAAUUCUUAGAUGUUUUUAUGGGACGAGAAGACCCUAUAGAGUUUAACAUUUGAUUGCGUAUUUCUUGUUGUUUGUUUAUAAUUUUUACGUGUCUCUUGUUUUGUUGGGGUGAUGGGAGGAAUUUAUUUAA
rnacentral:rRNA from 2 species